rnacentral:rRNA from 1 species
AGAGUUUGAUCCUGGCUCAGGAUGAACGCUGGCGGCGUGCCUAAUACAUGCAAGUCGAACGAGGUGCUUUUGUAGCAAUACGGAGGUAUCCUAGUGGCGAACGGGUGAGUAACGCGUUGGUGACCUACCCCAAAGUGUGGGAUAACAGUUCGAAAGGAUUGCUAAUACCGCAUGUGGUCUUCGGAUUUAGAAACUGAUGACUAAAGGAGUAAUCCGCUUUGGGAGGGACCUGCGUCCCAUCAGCUAGUUGGUGAGGUAACGGCUCACCAAGGCGACGACGGGUAGGGGACCUGAGAGGGUGGCCCCCCACAAUGGAACUGAAACACGGUCCAUACACCUACGGGUGGCAGCAGUAGGGAAUAUUGCACAAUGGGCGAAAGCCUGAUGCAGCAACGCCGCGUGUGCGAUGAAGGCCUUCGGGUCGUAAAGCACUUUUCUGAGGGAUGAGCAAGGACAGUACCUCAGGAAUAAGUCUCGGCUAACUACGUGCCAGCAGCCGCGGUAAAACGUAGGAGGCAAGCGUUAUCCGGAUUCACUGGGCGUAAAGCGCGUGCAGGCGGUUCGGUAAGUUGGGCGUGAAAUCUCCUGGCUUAACUAGGAGAGGUCGUUCAAUACUACCGGACUUGAGAGUGGUAGAGGAAGAUGGAAUUCCCGGUGUAGUGGUGAAAUGCGUAGAUAUCGGGAGGAACACCAGUGGCGAAAGCGAUCUUCUGGACCAUUUCUGACGCUCAGACGCGAAAGCUAGGGUAGUAAACGGGAUUAGAGACCCCGGUAAUCCUAGCCGUAAACGAUGUAAACUUGGCGUCGGUGGCUUAAACUCCAUCGGUGCCGCAGCUAACGCGAUAAGUUUACCGCCUGGGGACUACGAUCGCAAGAUUAAAACUCAAAGGAAUUGACGG